rnacentral:ncRNA from 1 species
UUCUUCGGGGCAGGGUGCAAUUCCCUACUGGCGGUAUAGUCCGCGACCCGCACAGGGGACGAAAGUUCCUGUACGGCUGACCCGGUGCAACUCCGGGACCAACAGUAUAGUCUGGAUGAAAGAAGAA